rnacentral:rRNA from 1 species
UCGAGAAUCAUUCGCAAUGGGCGAAAGCCUGACGGUGCGACGCCGCGUGGAGGAUGAAGGCCCUAGGGUCGUAAACUCCUGUCAUCAGGGAGUAAUGGCUCAUAUAGUAACUGAUAUGGGUCUUGAUAGUACCUGAAGAGGAAGGGACGGCAAACUUCGUGCCAGCAGCCGCGGUAAUACGAAGGUCCCAAGCGUUGUUCGGAUUUACUGGGCGUAAAGAGUCUGUAGGCGGUGGGGUAAGUCAGAUGUGAAAUCCCGGGGUUCAACCCCGGAACUGCAUCCGAUACUGCCUUACUUGAGGGUCGGAGGGGAGUCUGGAAUUCUCGGUGUAGCAGUGAAAUGCGUAGAUAUCGAGAGGAACACUAGUGGCGAAGGCGAGACUCUGGACGACAACUGACGCUGAGAGACGAAGGCCAGGGGAGCGAAAAGGAUUAGAUACCCCACUAGUCCCUGAGCGGGCUGGCAAGGCGCAU